UCUCCUGUAGCUCAGUGGUAGAUCUAGAGCGUCCUACCGGUGUGCGGAAGGUCAUAGGUUCGACUCCUGUUGGGGGAA